GGAGAGGUGGCCGAGCGGCUGAAGGCAACGGUUUGCUAAACCGUCGUACUGGUAAUAACCGGUACCGGGGGUUCGAAUCCCCCCCUCUCCG
rnacentral:tRNA from 1 species